UGGGGAAUAUUGGGCAAUGGGCGCAAGCCUGACCCAGCAACGCCGCGUGAAGGAAGAAGGUCUUCGGAUUGUAAACUUUUGUCGCCAGGGACGAAAAAAGACGGUACCUGGUAAGAAAGCCCCGGCUAACUACGUGCCAGCAGCCGCGGUAAUACGUAGGGGGCGAGCGUUGUCCGGAAUUACUGGGCGUAAAGGGCGCGUAGGCGGCAUAUUAAGUUAGAUGUGAAAUCCCCGGGCUUAACCUGGGUGUUGCAUUUAAAACUGAUAAGCUUGAGUGCAGGAGAGGUAAGUGGAAUUCCUAGUGUAGCGGUGAAAUGCGUAGAUAUUAGGAGGAACAUCAGUGGCGAAGGCGACUUACUGGACUGUAACUGACGCUGAGGCGCGAAAGCGUGGGGAGCAAACA
rnacentral:rRNA from 1 species